rnacentral:rRNA from 1 species
UACGUAGGAGGCAAGCGUUGUCCGGAAUCACUGGGCGUAAAGCGCGUGUAGGUGGUGCGCCAAGUCUGCUGUGAAAGCGCCUGGCUUAACCGGGCGAGGUCGGCGGAAACGGGCGCACUCGAGGUCGGUAGAGGGGGGUGGAAUUCCCGGUGUAGUGGUGAAAUGCGUAGAGAUCGGGAGGAACACCUGUGGCGAAGGCGGCCCCCUGGGCCGCACCUGACACUGAGACGCGAAGGCGUGGGGAGCGAACGGG